CCUACGGGUGGCAGCAGUGAGGAAUAUUGGUCAAUGGACGAGAGUCUGAACCAGCCAAGUAGCGUGAAGGAUGACUGCCCUAUGGGUUGUAAACUUCUUUUAUAAAGGAAUAAAACGAGGCACGUGUGCCUUUUUGCAUGUACUUUAUGAAUAAGGAUCGGCUACCUCCGUGCCAGCAGCCGCGGUAAUACGGAGGAUCCGAGCGUUAUCCGGAUUUAUUGGGUUUAAAGGGAGCGUAGAUGGGUUGUUAAGUCAGUUGCGAAAGUUUGCGGCUCAACCGUAAAAUUGCAAUUGAUACUGGCAGUCUUGAGUACAGUUGAGGUAGGCGGAAUUCGCGGUGUAGCGGUGAAAUGCUUAGAUAUCACGAAGAACCCCGAUUGCGAAGGCAGCUUACUAAACUGCCACUGACAUUGAUGCUCGAAAGUGUGGGUAUCAAACAGGAUUAGAUACCCGAGUAGUC
rnacentral:rRNA from 1 species